rnacentral:lncRNA from 1 species
CAUGUUUUAGGCCUGGUUCACGUGUUACAUCUUCCUCUGUCUCACCUAGACAGUGCAAGGCAGUUUAGUUGAUGGAUACAGUUUUUAAUAAUUAAGGGCCUUGGCAGCAGAAUGUAUCUAUCUGUUCUGCAUGACCUUGUGUUACAGUUGGCCUGAGUUUGUUUUACAAGCUUUUUAAAAGUUUUUCACAUGAUGCAGUGGGAGUUCACAGAGGAGGGGAAGUUUGUUCACAUCCCUAGGGGCUGUACUUGAAAGGGCCCAAGAGUCUUCUUCCUGAUCUGUGCUAAGGAGAAAUUGUUUAAUACUAAACAAUUGGAUAAACAAAAUGUAUAGGAAGACAAGUGAACGAAAGAGUGAGAUCUGAGAGUAUAGGACAAUACUAGCUGUGUUUUUGGAGAAGGCGGUCUUUACUAAACGAGACCGGGACUGCAAAGGAGCGUGCCCGUGGUCACACGAUGCCGGGAAGAGGCUGCUGCAUGAGAGUAGUGAGGGUGGAACAGGGAGAAUGUGAGGGGACGGAAUACGCUGCCGGGUUCCUGGAAGUGAAUGCAAUGCGAGGAACUGAGAAACGCCGCCUAGUUGAGCAGGAGAGGAGCCAGACGGGGCCUGGCGCUGCUGCCCGGAACGGGGCCCGGAGAGGAGGCGGCUCGCAGCCGCGAGUGGGCGAAGCGGCAGCGGCCCUCUAACGGAGGCGCCGCGGGCCCCUGGAGACGGGCCCGCCUCCCGGCACGGGCCCGCCCGUCGCAGCUCUCCAGAGAGACGCGGCCUACAGCCGUGAGCGGAGGGAUGUGCACGGUCGUGCCGUCAGGAGGCGAGUCGUGACUGGGCUUCUUCGUCAGAAGGCAGUGCGGUCGCACAGCAUCCCGCUGUGCUGCAGGUCUAACCAACACCUGUCUCUGGCAGCUGAGCGAGAAUGGAUUCUGAAACAGAGUAAAAUGCAAACAGAACUGAACUGGCAGCCACUCUGUGAGAAUGCUGGAUGUAAUUGGUAUCAGAAAUCAGAGGAUCUAGCACACAGCCUGUCUUCAUCAAGAGAGGAGAUAUUUCAGUAUGAUGAUGAAAGUUCUCUGUGUAAAGAUAUGCCUGCUUUGGAAAUAAAAAAGCUGCAGGAACAGAAUGCCAGCCUUCGGGCUGCUAUUGCACAAAUGAGGAAGGAAAUGGAGAGUCUUGAUGAACAGAUGUUGUCCUCUCUUACUCUAACAGAAGACAGACAGCUUGCACAGCAAGGUUCAUUGAGCACCAACAAAAUUUCAACUGAAACCACACUGAGCAACAUCAAAGUCAGUUCAACUAAGUUGGAUUGUGUAGUAAAUCCAAACACAGAAGAGGGGCCAGUACCCAAAGUUCUUGAAGAAAACAUGGUAGAUUUUGGACAACUGCUACCUGAUGUAGGUACCGGUGUUGGUUGUCAGUAUAGUGCCAAACACACCCUACAAGGAAUGCAAAAUAAACUCAAGGAAGCAGCAAGAAAAAUCUCAAUUCUGAGCCAAGAAAAGCGGCAGCUGAUUGAAAUGGGAAACAGACUCAGGGCAGAACUUGGAAUGGUGUUAAAGGAAGGACUCUGGCAUCCUGUUAGAUCUAAGCACUGCACAGUUUGUAUUGCCUCUGGUAGUCUUCUUCCAAGAGAACUUGUCAAAAGAACACAGUGUCAGCUAUCCGUUCUAAAGCAUCUACAGCACAGACUCUCAACACAGGAGCUGCAGUGUGCAAGGCAACAGCAUCUUUCAAGGUUCUCUUCUCCUACUGCCUGCCCUAGCUUAAAGGAAGCUCCAAGCAGCUGUGGGGAAGAAAAAGAAUUACCAUCUGCUGAGAUUCACCCAAGGUUCGGCAAUUUCUUUUUUGAAAAUGAUGAGCCAGAUACAUUCUCAGCAACAAAGGCAGAUACAUCCACAAAAACUGUUCAAACUCAGCUGCUCAGUCAGAGUCCUAGUCAAGUCCUGCAGGUCCAACUUUCUUCGUCUCGAGCGCAUAAUUUCUGUCAAAUUUUAGACACGGGAUCAAGCCUUUCUCUACUCAGUCCUCGAAAGAACAGCAGCCAGGUGGAGUUUGAAGUUGUACAUUCAAUGGAGCAAUCUGAAGAAUCUCAGCAAAAUGUGAAAGCCAAGGAUAAACUUGAAACGUCAUCUGAAGAUUUGACAGUCAGAGGAACAAGGCUGGAAGUUCAGCAGAAGUUAAAAUCUAGAAAUUUAUCUUGUGCUCAUCAAUUAAAACCAAAAAUCUCUUCUAGCAUGGCAAAAAUCCGCAAUUAUAAUAUUAAAGACUGACUUCUAUGUUGACAGCAUGUUGUAGUUUUGCACUUGCUAUUAACUCACUUCGAGAUCUCUAUAUCAGGUCUAAUUAUCAGCCUCAGUUUUGUAUGUUAGGUUGAGAUAUCUGCAGCCAGAAGAGAGAACAAAUACCCUGCUUCGUACACUGAAGCCUAAAAUAAAGGGUUAAUUUGUGUACAUUAUGAGAUUACAGACUUCACUGUUAAUACUGAUUUAUUUUAAUUAUAUAUGUUAAGAUUUUCUUGCAUCAUGGAUUUAGAAAUGCCCAGUUAACACACAGGUAAAGCCUUGUGCCUUCAGGCAGGGCUUGCAGGACUUUAGCAGGUAUUUUGUUGAGAAACUGUAGAUGUGAUUUAAGCUUAGAAGUGAGAUGCCUCAACCUACUUGUCUUCUUCUAAUUAACAAUGCAACCGUUAAUCCUGUGCAGCUAUCUUUCUACUUAAGAAAGAAAGGGGUUUAAAAGCAUUACAUCUGAGUCUGUAUUAUUUCUCAUCUUCUGUAGCUCUUUCCACUUGUUCAGAGAACAUGAAAGAGUAAAAAAUUAAAUUUGUACUGUUACACUAGAUUGUAUUUUCCCUUGGCAACAGAUUGUAGGGACUUGAAAGCAGUGAGAAACACUGCUACCAUGUUACAGUCACAUGCUCAGAAUAGUACAGACAUGUCAUAAGAAGUAAGUCUUAAAACAGAUGAAACUAAAAGAAAACUUGAAUGAGUUGUGAUGUAACAAAGGAUAGCUACGUAGUAAUGAACAUGCCAGGACACUAAUAGGAGUAAUCAGUGUAUUUUUGUAGCAUUUCCAGUAAUGCUGACUGUCCUGGGAUAUUACAGAGAUUAACUUUCCUGUAAGUAAAGGAAAUGCACAUGAAAAAUUCAAGAAAAAACUUUUAAUUGUAGGAAUGGUCCAGCACUAGA